UACAGAGGGUGCGAGCGUUAAUCGGAAUUACUGGGCGUAAAGCGCACGUAGUCGGCUUUGCAAGUCGGGUGUGAAAUCCCCGGGCUCAACCUGGGAACUGCAUCCGAGACUGCAUUGCUAGAGUAUGGGAGAGGGAAGCGGAAUUUCUGGUGUAGCAGUGAAAUGCGUAGAUAUCAGAAGGAACAUCAGUGGCGAAGGCGGCUUCCUGGACCAAUACUGACGAUCAGGCACGAAAGCCGUGGGGAGCAAACAGG
rnacentral:rRNA from 1 species